rnacentral:rRNA from 1 species
AACGUAGGAGACGAACGUUAUCCGGAAUUAUUGGGCGUAAAGAGCUCGUAGGCGGUUUGUCGCGUCGGCCGUGAAAACUUGGGGCUUAACCCCGAGCCUGCGGUCGAUACGGGCAGACUUGAGUUCGGCAGGGGAGACUGGAAUUCCUGGUGUAGCGGUGAAAUGCGCUGAUAUCAGGAGGAACACCGGUGGCGAAGGCGGGUCUCUGGGCCGAUACUGACGCUGAGGAGCGAAAGCGUGGGGAGCGAACAGG